rnacentral:sRNA from 1 species
AGCUGAAGCCAGCCAGACCUGAAAGGCUUGUGUUGGCAGUGCCAAUAUCCGUCCUUAACCCCUGCCAAUGUGGGUGGCUGCUCUAAGAGCACUCUGCAGGGGAAGCAGAAUUGGACUGAAGCCCGAGCUACUGCUGCCUAUAGCUUGCUCUCUGACGCUCUUGCCGCUGAGAAUGUACCUUGCUGGUACAGCCGGAGCCGAGAGCUCUAGAAAAGAAUAGUUUCUGUCCAUGAAGGAACAGUUCAAGAAGAGCAAGCUUACUCUGCCCACGGAAGACCAGACUCCUAUCUGGCUUUGUUUGGAAUAUCUAAGCUCAGGAAAUUCAGGUUAUUGCAGCUGACUGCAAAAGGGUCACAGUGCUGAAGUACUUUCUGGAAGCCCUUUGUGGACAAGAAGAGCCUCUGCUGGCAUUCAAGGAUGGAAAGUAUGUGUCAGUGGCACCCGCCCCAGACACCAUGGGAAAGGAAAUGGGAAGCCAAGAGGGAACACGACUGGAAGAUGAGGAGGAGGAUGUGGUGAUUGAAGACUUUGAGGAAGAUUCAGA